CUGAACUAUGCCAGCUCUUUCACUUUAGUUGUGGAUCAACAGAACAGAUGAGGACAACCUCAUGACUCAAAAGAGAAGCAGAUGCAAGAACCUCACCAGAAGGCCCACUGGACUGUCUGACUGGACUGGGUCCGACGGCCUCCUGUCCCCUUUUACAGCUUUGUACAGAUGAAGAUAAUGAAGGCCUCUGUGCUGGUGCUUUGUGGCUAUUCUGUGUAAAUACAAAAGGAUACAUCUAUAAAAGUUUCAGUCACUCAAAUAUAGAAUGAAUGAGCACCCGUGACCCAGAGACUCUGGCCUUGGUCUCCAAGCCUCCCUGUGGGUGUCCCUGGCAAGA